GCCUUCGUGGUGUAGUGGUCAGCACACUGAGCCGGUAUUUCAGAGGUCCGUGGUUCGAUUCCUGGCGAAGGCC
rfam:Stegodyphus mimosarum contig107792, whole genome shotgun sequence.